UGCAUGCAAGCAAAAAAAUUCCAACAACAAUCUCUAUGGGUGAUGCUGUUGAACAAGACAAUUAGCACUGAAUUUCGAAUAGCAUUGUCCUUGUGUCAGCAUGUGCAUGUGUGUGGGAGACAGAGAAAGGAGAAGGGAUGUGGAGGAAGGGAUAGGCAGAUGAAUUAUGCUUCAAAAACAAUUUUGUAAAGCAACAAAUUAUGCUUAUUUGAUCACACUUGUAAAAAGGCUCAAAAUUUCUUCCCAUAAAACUUUUGAGGGAAAUAAGCAACACAAAUAGCAGAAGGAAAAAAUGGGAUAUGUUGUACCAACAAAAAAGAUCAACUUAAUGCAGAUACAAUCCCAAUCUAACUGGAGUCAGUGACAUGAAUCAUUUUCCUCUCCACUCUGACAGGGUGUUAGCUAGAUUUUCAAGGUAUACCUUUUCAUAAUUGUCAAAAAGCUUUAAUAUCCUUAAAUGGCCUCCAAAUUUCGAAAAUGCACAUAUAGAUUACACAACCAAAGACCUCAAAGCCAAAUAAAACCAUUUUCAAAACCCCCAAACAAAAAAGAAUAAAAAAGGGGAAAUGAAUUUAAUCAAAAGUAUAGGCAGGAAAAGCAAAACACAUUCAAUCCAACCAAAAAAAUUAUUAUAACAAAAAAAAUCAAAAGGUGAGAAAGCAAAUUACAAAAUAAAAUCCAGGUUUAGCAAUCCAAAUUGCGAUAAUCCGACUAGAGAAUCAGACAUCUAAAACUAAUAAACUGGCGAUUAACACAUAUAAUUAAACCAAUUUCAUCGAUUCUUCUACUUCUAACUAAUCCUUUAAUUUGCACUGGCUCAACCUGCAUGUUGACCUCAAAAGAUGAACCCUAGUUUCCCAUAAGGAACCAAGAAAAGCAAAAUUCCUCAAACCCAAAUUGCAAAGAGAUUAAAAAUCUUAAAUGGAUUUAAUCAAAAAGCAAAGAAGGGAAAAAAAAAAAAAAUCUUAACCUCGCUCGACGUAAGCCAUGA
rnacentral:misc_RNA from 1 species